AGCCACAAAUGCACAGAUUAUUAUCUUGGGCUGUUUUUUUAGAUAAAAAAGCUGCAUCAAUUAGGCAACCCACAAAAAGGCACGCAAAUUUCAUUAUUCCACUUGUGGUUUCUCAAAUCUUCCCACAGAAGCCAUUUUUGCGUUCAUUUGCUCUCAAACCCUAGCUUCAAAUUCAAUUGUGCAUCUCUGUUUUUUGUUGUGAGUAGUUCAAGUCGUCGAUUUGGGAGGCGAUUUGUACACCGGUGUAGCUUGGGGAAUAGAGUUUUGUUGGGUGCCAUUGCAACGACACCCAAUAACAAGGCAAACCAAUUUCGGGCAAUUGUUGUGUUUCUCAUUCUUCUGCAGAUUCUGACCCCACAUGAAUUCUUCUUUUCAUUGUUGAAACUGACCGAAUUUGCUGUGACAGGUCUUUUGCGGCAUUGGAUAUCUGCCUAGCACUGCAUACACACAAACAUAUCUGUUGCAAUCCUCCUGAAUCUGAGCUUCAGUAAAAUGGAGACUCGUACUGAGACAGUUGAAGCAUCAGUGGCUGUAAUAUUAGAGGAGGGCGAAUCUGGAUCCCUGAACCUAGGUGGAGGGCGAAUCUGGAUCCCUGAACCUAGGUGGAUGGUUUUUGUUUGCAUCUCAAGAAAGUCAGUGCUUUUACUUCUCUAUAGCAUAUCAUCUACUUAUGUUUUGUUUUUUGGCUAGUUGCUGGGAUGUGCUAUAUAUGUUAUUAACGCUGCUUGGAUGUGUGUUGUAUAUAUUAUGAAUGUAGUUUGGAUGUAAGUACCAAUAUGAAGGCUGGUAUUCUCUGCUUUGCAUCAA